GGGGAAUUUUGGACAACGGGCGCAAGCCUGAUCCAGCAAUGCCGCGUGAGUGAAGAAGGCCUUCGGGUUGUAAAGCUCUUUUGUCAGGGAAGAAACGGGAUUGGCUAAUAUCCAGUCCUAAUGACGGUACCUGAAGAAUAAGCACCGGCUAACUACGUGCCAGCAGCCGCGGUAAUACGUAGGGUGCAAGCGUUAAUCGGAAUUACUGGGCGUAAAGCGUGCGCAGGCGGUUUUGUAAGUCUGUCGUGAAAUCCCCGGGCUCAACCUGGGAAUUGCGAUGGAGACUGCAAGGCUAGAAUCUGGCAGAGGGGGGUAGAAUUCCACGUGUAGCAGUGAAAUGCGUAGAGAUGUGGAGGAACACCGAUGGCGAAGGCAGCCCCCUGGGUCAAGAUUGACGCUCAUGCACGAAAGCGUGGGGAGCAAACAGGAUUAGAUACCCUGGUAGUCCACGCCCUAAACGAUGUCUACUAGUUGUCGGGUUUUAAUUAACUUGGUAACGCAGCUAACGCGUGAAGUAGACCGCCUGGGGAGUACGGUCGCAAGAUUA
rnacentral:rRNA from 1 species